AGAAACGUGAGAGCCAGCUGAAGCUCCAAGCCCUGGAGAAGGAGAUCAUCUCAGCUCAGGAGAUCAGACAGCAUCUGGAGAAAACUGUUGCCCAGCAGACAGACAAAUACAGCCAAGAGAUGCAGCAGCUCCAGUCUGACAUUAAACCGCAAAAAAGGUUGGGGACCACUGCUUUAGACAACAACUGUCUUUGAUGGAGAUCUGCCACCGAGCAACAGAGAAGAACAGGAAAUCCAUCGGUUCCUCUCAUCACAGCUCACUGAUUUAAAUCCUUCGUCUUGGACAGAGAUUGCACAGUGACCAUCAGAAGCACGCUGGUCGAUCCAGGAGCUGAGGAAAACAACACAAUUUGCUCAAGGCUGAUGGACACUGGUACAUUGUAAUUGGUUUGUUCCAGAUUUGGAUAAUACUUGGAAUUUAUAUCGAUUCAAAGUGUCUCUUAUCUAUUAGUCAGAUUCCUUCCAUCCAGCCACUUCCAUUUCCCAUCUUCAACUCUCAGACCAAUCCAGUAUCUAUUGUUAUCAUCAUUUUUCCAACUCUUUUCACUGACAGUUUUCUGAGGACAGAGAGAAAGUUUCCAGAAAUAUUUAAACACUUUGCUCUAAGAAAGAUUUCAAUCUAAAGGAAAUAUAUUUUUAUUUCAUGAAGUCUAUAAUAAAAACUCCCACAGUUUU